rnacentral:rRNA from 1 species
GAGUUUGAUCGUGGCUCAGAUUGAACGCUGGCGGCAUGCCUAACACAUGCAAGUCGAACGGUAACAGGCCCUUCGGGGUGCUGACGAGUGGCAGACGGGUGAGCAAUACGUAGGAAUCUGCCCUGUAGUGGGGGAUAGCUCGGCGAAAGCCGAAUUAAUACCGCAUACGAUCUACGGAUGAAAGCGGGGGACCGCAAGGCCUCGCGCUAUAGGAUGAGCCUACGUCUGAUUAGCUAGUUGGUAGGGUAACGGCCUACCAAGGCGACGAUCAGUAGCUGGUCUGAGAGGAUGAUCAGCCACACCGGAACUGAGACACGGUCCGGACUCCUACGGGAGGCAGCAGUGGGGAAUAUUGGACAAUGGGGGAAACCCUGAUCCAGCAAUGCCGCGUGUGUGAAGAAGGCCUGCGGGUUGUAAAGCACUUUUGUUGGGGAAGAAAAGCCAUCGGAUAAUACCUGAUGGUCUUGACGGUACCCAAAGAAUAAGCACCGGCUAACUCCGUGCCAGCCGCCGCCGUAA